CCUACGGGUGGCAGCAGUGAGGAAUAUUGGUCAAUGGGAGAAAUCCUGAACCAGCCAAGCCGCGUGAGGGAAGACGGCCCUAUGGGUUGUAAACCUCUUUUGUCGGGGAACAAAACCCGGGACGUGUCCCGGACUGCGUGUAUCCGACGAACAAGCAUCGGCUAACUCCGUGCCAGCAGCCGCGGUAAGCCGGGGGAUGCGAGCGUUGUCCGGAUUUCUUGGGUUAAGAGGGUGCUCCGCCGGGUCUUUAAGCCGUCGGUGAAGUCGCGGGGCUAAGCCCCGCCGAGCCGUCGGAACUGGGGGACUGGAGUGCGGGGGAGGCAGGCGGAAUGCGCGGUGUAGCGGUGAAAUGCAUAGAUAUCGCGCAGAACACCGAUUGCGAAGGCAGCGUGCCGUGCCGCAACUGACGCUGAGGCACGAAAGCGCGGGGAGCGAACAGGAUUAGAUACCCCAGUAGUC
rnacentral:rRNA from 1 species